AACAGGAUUAGAUACCCUGGUAGUCCACGCCGUAAACGAUGAGUGCUAGGUGUUGGGGGGCUACGCCCCUCAGUGCCGAAGGUAACCCAUUAAGCACUCCGCCUGGGGAGUACGGCCGCAAGGCUGAAACUCAAAGGAAUUGACGGGGGCCCGCACAAGCGGUGGAGCAUGUGGUUUAAUUCGAAGCAACGCGAAGAACCUUACCAGGGCUUGACAUCCCGCUGACCCCUCCAGAGAUGGAGGUUUCCUUCGGGACAGCGGUGACAGGUGGUGCAUGGUUGUCGUCAGCUCGUGUCGUGAGAUGUUGGGUUCAGUCCCGCAACGAGCGCAACCCUUGUCGUUAGUUGCCAGCAUUUCGGAUGGGCACUCUAACGAGACAGCCGGUGAAAGCCGGAGGAAGGUGGGGAUGACGUCAAAUCAUCAUGCCCCUUAUGUCCUGGGCUACACACGUGCUACAAUGGCUGGUACAAAGGGCAGCGAACCCGCGAGGGGGAGCCAAUCCCAAAAAGCCAGUCUCAGUUCGGAUCGCAGGCUGCAACUCGCCUGCGUGAAGCCGGAAUCGCUAGUAAUCGCGGAUCAGCAUGCCGCGGUGAAUAUGUUCCCGGGCCUUGUACACACCGCCCGUCACACCACGAGAGUUUGCAACACCCGAAGUCGGUGAGGCAACCUUUUAGGAGCCAGCCGCCGAAGAUGGGGCAGAUGAUUGGGGUGAAGUCGUAACAAGGUAACC
rnacentral:rRNA from 1 species